rnacentral:rRNA from 1 species
UAAUACGUAGGCAGCAAGCGUUGUUCGGAGUUACUGGGCGUAAAGAGUACGUAGGCGGUUUGCUAAGUCUGGUGUGAAAUCUCCUGGCUUAACUGGGAGGGUGCGCUAGAUACUGGCAGGCUUGAGUAUGGGAGAGGAGAGUGGAAUUCCUGGUGUAGCGGUGAAAUGCGUAGAUAUCAGGAGGAACGCCGGUGGUGUAGACGGCUCUCUGGACCAUUACUGACGCUGAGGUACGAAAGCGUGGGUAGCAAACAGG